AUUGAACGCUGGCGGCAGGCCUAACACAUGCAAGUCGAACGAGUGGCGGACGGGUGAGUAAUGUAUGGGGAACUGCCUGAUCGAGGGGGAUAACUACUGGAAACGGUGGCUAAUACCGCAUACUAUCGGAUGUACCCAGAUGGGAUUAGCUAGUAGGUGGGGUAAAGGCUCACCUAGGCGACGAUCCCUAGCUGGUCUGAGAGGAGGCCCAGCCACACUGGAACUGAGACACGGCCCAGACUCCUACGGGAGGCAGCAGUGGGGAAUAUUGCACAAUGGGCGCAAGCCGGAUGCAGCCAUGCCGCGUGUAUGAAGAAGGCCUUCGGGUUGUAAAGUACUUUCAUCGGGGAGGCGUUACCCGCAGAGGAAGCACCGGCUAACUCCGUGCCAGCAGCCGCGGUAAUAC
rnacentral:rRNA from 1 species